AUUGAUACCAAUGGUAUCAGUGGUAGGGGAGCGUUCUAAGUGCAGUGAAGUCAGACCGGAAGGACUGGUGGAGCGCUUAGAAGUGAGAAUGCCGGUAUGAGUAGCGAAAGACGGGUGAGAAUCCCGUCCACCGAAUGCCUAAGGUUUCCUGAGGAAGGCUCGUCCGCUCAGGGUUAGUCAGGACCUAAGCCGAGGCCGACAGGCGUAGGCGAUGGACAACAGGUUGAUAUUCCUGUACCACCUCUUUAUCGUUUGAGCAAUGGAGGGACGCAGAAGGAUAGAAGAAGCGUGCGAUUGGUUGUGCACGUCCAAGCAGUUAGGCUGAUAAGUAGGCAAAUCCGCUUAUCGUGAAGGCUGAGCUGUGAUGGGGAAGCUCCUUAUGGAGCGAAGUCUUUGAUUCCCCGCUGCCAAGAAAAGCUUCUAGCGAGAUAAAAGGUGCCUGUACCGCAAACCGACACAGGUAGGCGAGGAGAGAAUCCUAAGGUGUGCGAGAGAACUCUGGUUAAGGAACUCGGCAAAAUGACCCCGUAACUUCGGGAGAAGGGGUGCUUUCUUAACGGAAAGCCGCAGUGAAUAGGCCCAAGCGACUGUUUAGCAAAAACACAGCUCUCUGCGAAGCCGUAAGGCGAAGUAUAGGGGGUGACACCUGCCCGGUGCUGGAAGGUUAAGGAGAGGGGUUAGCGUAAGCGAAGCUCUGAACUGAAGCCCCAGUAAACGGCGGCCGUAACUAUAACGGUCCUAAGGUAGCGAAAUUCCUUGUCGGGUAAGUUCCGACCCGCACGAAAGGUGUAACGAUUUGGGCACUGUCUCAACCAGAGACUCGGUGAAAUUAUAGUACCUGUGAAGAUGCAGGUUACCCGCGACAGGACGGAAAGACCCCGUGGAGCUUUACUGUAGCCUGAUAUUGAAUUUUGGUACAGUUUGUACAGGAUAGGCGGGAGCCAUUGAAACCGGAGCGCUAGCUUCGGUGGAGGCGCUGGUGGGAUACCGCCCUGACUGUAUUGAAAUUCUAACCUACGGGUCUUAUCGACCCGGGAGACAGUGUCAGGUGGGCAGUUUGACUGGGGCGGUCGCCUCCUAAAGUGUAACGGAGGCGCCCAAAGGUUCCCUCAGAAUGGUUGGAAAUCAUUCGUAGAGUGCAAAGGCAUAAGGGAGCUUGACUGCGAGACCUACAAGUCGAGCAGGGACGAAAGUCGGGCUUAGUGAUCCGGUGGUUCCGCAUGGAAGGGCCAUCGCUCAACGGAUAAAAGCUACCCCGGGGAUAACAGGCUUAUCUCCCCCAAGAGUCCACAUCGACGGGGAGGUUUGGCACCUCGAUGUCGGCUCAUCGCAUCCUGGGGCUGUAGUCGGUCCCAAGGGUUGGGCUGUUCGCCCAUUAAAGCGGUACGCGAGCUGGGUUCAGAACGUCGUGAGACAGUUCGGUCCCUAUCCGUCGUGGGCGUAGGAAAUUUGAGAGGAGCUGUCCUUAGUACGAGAGGACCGGGAUGGACGCACCGCUGGUGUACCAGUUGUUCUGCCAAGGGCAUAGCUGGGUAGCUAUGUGCGGAAGGGAUAAGUGCUGAAAGCAUCUAAGCAUGAAGCCCCCCUCAAGAUGAGAUUUCCCAUAGCGUAAGCUAGU
rnacentral:rRNA from 1 species